rnacentral:misc_RNA from 1 species
UGCAUUCAUGGGAUACUAAUGUGUUCCCUGACACUAACCCUCUCUGCGUAUCAAUCCAUGUUGCUUUCCCAGGUGCUCCCUCACCUGGGAGAGGGCCUAUCCAUAGCAAAUUAUUGAAUCAGCUGUCUGAGUUGGCCCAGUGCCAUAUUCUUUGAAUAGGUAA